AUCUACGGCCAUGCCACCCUGAACGUGCCCAAUCUCGUCUGAUCUUGGAAGCUAAGUAAAGUCGGGCCUGGUUAGUACUUGGAUAGGAGAUCACUUAAGAAUACCAGGUGCUGUAGGUA
ensembl:rRNA 5S_rRNA 5S ribosomal RNA